UACGAAGGGGGCUAGCGUUGCUCGGAAUUACUGGGCGUAAAGGGAGCGUAGGCGGGUUAUCAAGUUGGAGGUGAAGCCCAGGGCUCAACCUUGGAAUUGCCUUCAAACUGAUAGCCUAGAGUAUGAUAGAGGUAUGUGGAACUCCGAGUGUAGAGGUGAAAUUCGUAGAUAUUCGGAAGAACACCAGUGGCGAAGGCGACAUACUGGGUCAUGACUGACGCUGAGGCUCGAAAGCGUGGGGAGCAACAGG
rnacentral:rRNA from 1 species